rnacentral:rRNA from 1 species
GACGAACGCUGGCGGCGUGCUUAACACAUGCAAGUCGAACGGUGAAGCGCCUUCCUUUUUGGUGGGUGUGGAUGAGUGGCGAACGGGUGAGUAACACGUGAGUAACCUGCCCCCUUCUUCUGGAUAACCGCAUGAAAGUGUGGCUAAUACGGGAUAUUCUGGGUCUGUCGCAUGAUGGGUCUGGGAAAGAUAUUGUUUCGGUGGGGGAUGGGCUCGCGGCCUAUCAGCUUGUUGGUGGGGUGAUGGCCUACCAAGGCGGUGACGGGUAGCCGGCCUGAGAGGGUGGACGGUCACACGGGGACUGAGACACGGCCCAGACUCCUACGGGAGGCAGCAGUGGGGAAUAUUGCACAAUGGGCGCAAGCCUGAUGCAGCGACGCCGCGUGAGGGAUGGAGGCCUUCGGGUUGUGAACCUCUUUCGCCAGUGAAGCAGGCCUGCCUAGUUUGUGGGUGGGUUGACGGUAGCUGGAGAAGAAGCGCCGGCUAACUACGUG